rnacentral:rRNA from 1 species
GAUGAACGCUGGCGGCGUGCCUAAUACAUGCAAGUCGAGCGAAUGGAUUAAGAGCUUGCUCUUAUGAAGUUAGCGGCGGACGGGUGAGUAACACGUGGGUAACCUGCCCAUAAGACUGGGAUAACUCCGGGAAACCGGGGCUAAUACCGGAUAACAUUUUGAACCGCAUGGUUCGAAAUGGAAAGGCGGCUUCGGCUGUCACUUAUGGAUGGACCCGCGUCUCAUUAGCUAGUUGGUGAGGUAACGGCUCACCAAGGCAACGAUGCGUAGCCGACCUGAGAGGGUGAUCGGCCACACUGGGACUGAGACACGGCCCAGACUCCUACGGGAGGCAGCAGUAGGGAAUCUUCCGCAAUGGACGAAAGUCUGACGGAGCAACGCCGCGUGAGUGAUGAAGGCUUUCGGGUCGUAAAACUCUGUUGUUAGGGAAGAACAAGUGCUAGUUGAAUAAGCUGGCACCUUGACGGUACCUAACCAGAAAGCCACGGCUAACUACGUGCCAGCAGCCGCAGUAA